rnacentral:misc_RNA from 1 species
UGUACGAGUGAGCCUGCUCGCGAUAGCGGUCUGUCUGUUGCAAUAUUGUCGACUGGCAGACCGCUAUCGCGAGCAGGCUCACUCCUACA